rnacentral:tRNA from 1 species
GGCAUGGUGGCUCAGUGGUUAGAGCGCCCGCCUCAUGAACGGAAGGUCGUGGGUUUGAACCCCUGCCGAGUCA